rnacentral:rRNA from 1 species
CCACACGACUCUCGGCAACGGAUAUCUUGGCUCUUGCAUCGAUGAAGAACGUAGCGAAAUGCGAUACCUGGUGUGAAUUGCAGAAUCCCGCGAACCAUCGAGUCUUUGAACGCAAGUUGCGCCCGAGGCCACUCGGCCGAGGGCACGCCUGCCUGGGCGUCACG